CCUACGGGGGGCAGCAGUGGGGAAUAUUGGACAAUGGGGGGAACCCUGAUCCAGCCAUGCCGCGUGUGUGAAGAAGGCCCUCGGGUUGUAAAGCACUUUCAGUGAGGAAGAACGCCUGGUGGUUAAUACCCAUCAGGAAAGACAUCACUCUCAGAAGAAGCACCGGCUAACUCCGUGCCAGCAGCCGCGGUAAUACGGAGGGUGCGAGCGUUAAUCGGAAUUACUGGGCGUAAAGCGCGCGUAGGUGGCUUGAUAAGCCGGUUGUGAAAGCCCCGGGCUCAACCUGGGAACGGCAUCCGGAACUGUCAAGCUAGAGUGCAGGAGAGGAAGGUAGAAUUGCCGGUGUAGCGGUGAAAUGCGUAGAGAGCGGGAGGAAUACCAGUGGCGAAGGCGGCCUUCUGGACUGACACUGACACUGAGGUGCGAAAGCGUGGGUAGCAAACAGGAUUAGAUACACUAGUAGUA
rnacentral:rRNA from 1 species